AACGAACGCUGGCGGCAGGCUUAACACAUGCAAGUCGAGCGCCCCGCAAGGGGAGCGGCAGACGGGUGAGUAACGCGUGGGAAUCUACCUUUUGCUACGGAAUAACGCAGGGAAACUUGUGCUAAUACCGUAUGUGUCCUUCGGGAGAAAGAUUUAUCGGCAAGAGAUGAGCCCGCGUUGGAUUAGCUGGUUGGUGGGGUAAAGGCCUACCAAGGCGACGAUCCAUAGCUGGUCUGAGAGGAUGAUCAGCCACAUUGGGACUGAGACACGGCCCAAACUCCUACGGGAGGCAGCAGUGGGGAAUAUUGGACAAUGGGCGCAAGCCUGAUCCAGCCAUGCCGCGUGAGUGAUGAAGGCCCUAGGGUUGUAAAGCUCUUUCACCGGAGAAGAUAAUGACGGUAUCCGGAGAAGAAGCCCCGGCUAACUUCGUGCCAGCAGCCGCGGUAA
rnacentral:rRNA from 2 species